AGGCUCGAACACCCAGGUUCCUGCGCGCCGUACGCACCCAGCUGACGACCGCUCGCUCCGUCGUUAGCC
rnacentral:sRNA from 1 species